UACGUAGGUGGCAAGCGUUGUCCGGAUUUACUGGGCGUAAAGGGCGUGCAGGCGGUCUGUUUAGUCUAGGGUGAAAGCUCCCGGCUCAACUGGGAGAGGUCCUUGGAUACUGGCAGGCUUGAGGGAGGCAGAGGAAAGUGGAAUUCCCGGUGUAGUGGUGAUAUGCGUAGAUAUCGGGAGGAACACCAGUGGCGAAGGCGGCUUUCUGGGCCUAACCUGACGCUGAGACGCGAAAGCGUGGGGAGCGAACCGG
rnacentral:rRNA from 1 species